UUUUCAAUUCUGUGAAUGAAAAAUGCUUGUUUACAAGAAGAAUGAUCAGAUAAACGAAAAUCUGUCUACUAUAUAUAUCUGUGUGGAAAUAAUUUAACAACCUAUGGACACUUUUCUUUCCAUCUGAACAUUAAAUUAGAAUAAGGGAGGAGGAGAAGAGCCAUAAAUGAAAUCCCUCCUGGUGCCUGAAAUCUUUAUCAGCAUAGCUACUACCUCCUUCAUGUUUGGUCUAGCCUGGGGUGCCUCUGCAGUGCAUCUUAUUCCAAUCCUCAGUAACUCACACAUCUCCACUGCUCCCUCUGCUAAUCCAGACCCCAAAAGCAUAACUGGUAUCACUGCUCUGCCUACUUCAUUUUGCACAUUUCCCAGUACCCGUCUAGCCCAUUCUACCAGACAUUCUUCCCCACCGUCCACAGCUCGCCUUCCUGUUGCCAGUUCCAUUGUCAAUACCCCAAAGCUGUAUACGUCACCUUUUGUAGUAGCUUGCCAAGUUUGCCCAUAUUCUGGUGCAACAUACCCAAUCGUGCCAGCCACUAUUGUGCUCACAUGGCUAUCUCCAGCAUCAACAAAUCUUGCUAGUCCAAAAUCUGUGACUCUUGCCUUACCAUCUUUGUCUAGCAGAACAUUACUAGCCUUGACAUCACGGUGCACAAUUGCAGGAUAGCACUCAUGGUGCAGAAAUACUAAUGCUUGCGCUACAUCUGUCG
rnacentral:misc_RNA from 1 species